GAAGAUUUAGUUAAAUAAUAACAUUAGAAUGUCACACUAAAAUUAUCAUAUAUGAUAAUCUUCU
rnacentral:tRNA from 1 species